UCAAUAAGCGGAGGAAAAGAAACCAACAGGGAUUGCCCUAGUAACGGCGAGUGAAGCGGCAACAGCUCAAAUUUGAAAUCUGGCGCAAGCCCGAGUUGUAAUUUGUAGAGGAUGCUUCUGGGCAGCGGCCGGUCUAAGUUCCUUGGAACAGGACGUCACAGAGGGUGAGAAUCCCGUAUGUGACCGGCGCGCACCCUCCACGUAGCUCCUUCGACGAGUCGAGUUGUUUGGGAAUGCAGCUCUAAAUGGGAGGUAAAUUUCUUCUAAAGCUAAAUACCGGCCAGAGACCGAUAGCGCACAAGUAGAGUGAUCGAAAGAUGAAAAGCACUUUGGAAAGAGAGUUAAAAAGCACGUGAAAUUGUUGAAAGGGAAGCGCUUGCAACCAGACUCCGCGGCGGUGUUCCGCCGGUCUUCUGACCGGUCCACUCGCCGCCGCGGGGCCAACAUCGUCUGGGGCCGCCGGACAAGACUGGAGGAAUGUAGCUCCCUCGGGAGUGUUAUAGCCUUCAGUGAUGCGGCGCGUCCCGGGCGAGGUCCGCGCUUCGGCAAGGAUGUUGGCGUAAUGGUUGCCAGCGGCCCGUCUUGAAACACGGACCAAGGAGUCUAACAUCUAUGCGAGUGUUCGGGUGUCAAACCCCUACGCGUAAUGAAAGUGAACGGAGGUGGGAGCUUCGGCGCACCAUCGACCGAUCCUGAUGUCCUCGGAUGGAUUUGAGUAAGAGCAUAGCUGUUGGGACCCGAAAGAUGGUGAACUAUGCCUGAAUAGGGUGAAGCCAGAGGAAACUCUGGUGGAGGCUCGCAGCGGUUCUGACGUGCAAAUCGAUCGUCAAAUUUGGGUAUAGGGGGCGAAAGACUAAUCGA
rnacentral:rRNA from 1 species